rnacentral:rRNA from 2 species
ACAAGUUUAACGGCCGCGGUAUUUUGACCGUGCAAAGGUAGCGCAAUCACUUGUCUUUUAAAUAGAGACCCGUAUGAAUGGCUAAACGAGGGCUUAACUGUCUCCCUUUUCAAGUCAGUGAAAUUGAUCUACCCGUGCAGAAGCGGGUAUAACAAUACAAGACGAGAAGACCCUUUGGAGCUUAAGGUACAAAACUCAACCACACCAAGCAACUUAAUAAAAAGUAAAAACUUUGUGAAACAUGAGGUUUUACCUUCGGUUGGGGCGACCGCGGAGGAAAAUAAAGCCUCCAAGUGGACCGGGACAAACUCCUAAAACCAAGAGAAACAUCUCUAAGCCACAGAACAUCUGACCAAACAUGAUCCGGCCACCAGGACCGAUCAACGAACCAAGUUACCCUAGGGAUAACAGCGCAAUCCUCUCCCAGAGUCCAUAUCGACGAGGGGGUUUACGACCUCGAUGUUGGAUCAGGACAUCCUAAUGGUGCAGCCGCUAUUAAGGGUUCGUUUGUUCAACGAUUAAAGUCCUACGUGAUC